rnacentral:rRNA from 1 species
GCUUUUGCCAAGAGUAAACAUCUUGGCGAAUAAGUGGUGGGCAAGACGGGUGCCAGCCGCCGCGGUAACACCUGCGCCACGAGUGGCAWUCACGUUUAUUGGGCCUAAAGCGUUCGUAGCCGGAUURGUCAGUCUUGGGUGAAAUCGUUGCGCUUAACAAAACGACUUGCUUGAGAUACUGCUGAUCUAGGGACCGGGAGGCGUUAGAGGUAUUCCUGAGGGAGCGGUAAAAUGCUAUAAUCUCUCGAGGACCACCUGUGGCGAAGGCGUCUAACGAGAACGGGUCCGACGGUGAGGAACGAAAGCUAGGGGAGCAAACCGGAUUAGAUACCCGAGUAGUCCUAGCCGUAAACGCUGCGARCUAGAUGUUGCAUA